rnacentral:lncRNA from 1 species
CGGAAUUUAUUACGUAAUGGAUAGUAUCUGAAAAGGAAAAGUUGGUUGUGGUGUGCCGAAACCAACGUACGAGUGGGCCUGUAAUAAAAGAGGGCCCACCAAGGAGAAUUGUAAUGCUAACUGGGUAUAGGUGGGUGGGGACAAUCAACUGGAUCGGCAGAGGUGAGUAGGGGCUGGGAGUUUAAGCAAAUUCAGGCCUAAUGGCCUUUCUACUUGUGCUCGGAAUUUAAUACGUAAUGGAUAGUAUCUGAAAAGGAAAAGUUGGUUGUGGUGUGCCAAAACCAACGUACGAGUGGGCCUGUAAAUAAAAGAGGGCAAAAGAGAAGUUCGAGAAAAGACACACUUUAUUGCAUUUUACAUAACCAAGUUCCUGAAGGCUUGACAAAGCUCACUUUCUGGUCGUGGUAUAUAUGUAUGGUAUAUGGAGGAUUUCCAUCGACCCAGUCUCUUGAUGAUGUGGACCGGAGUGUUUGUGCUAGAGGCUGAUGAAGCGGCUCCUAUGCGGAAGGAGUGCCCGGAGAAUGAAGCCGGAUUGUAACCCAGUUUGGAUAGUAAUGUUCUGACGUGUGCCAUGAAUUUAGCCGUGGUGAGCGGGUGCCCUUGUAGUGAUAAGAGCGGAGAGUCUGGUAAGUGUGCGUGAUGAGUUGACCAUAGGUGGUCUAGCGCCUUGACCAGACACCAGGCAUUAUCGGUAGGAAAGAGAGGAAUGAUGGUGGGGUGUUGUGAGUGAUUAGUUUUUGUUGAUGGGAGCGUAAGUGAAGCUUUGAGGCUGUGCGUGAUAUCCCCUUGGCAAACAACGUUGAACUCUCUGGGUCUGAGAAAACCGUAGAAAGCAAGAUAGAUAGUAGAUUUAAUCACCAGGUUUGUGUUGGGAUCGAACGGGGAUUCGUCAAGGAGAUUGCUGAGUGAUCUAAAGAUAGGCCCAUCUAUAGGCAGUCUUGUGUUGGUGAGUGGAACAGAAAUCUUUAAUAUACCUUUCAAGACCUUUUUAAUGGGAUAUGACGACAAGUUGGUGGUAUUGUUAGGAAAAUUGGUGAGGCUAUGGUGCUGAACCCCGGUGAGGUAAAGUUUAAUGGUGUUGUGAGAAAGUUUAAGAUGUAAGUGGCAGAAAGAGGCAAAAGCCACCAUGGUUUGUGUAGAAAAAUCACCUUGUAAACCGAAUUCUGCAGUGGAUUUAUUAAAAAUGGUAAGUGCCCUAUUGUAGGAGAUAGCUGUGUUAGGUGAUAGUGCUUGUUGAGUGAGAGUCCUAGCGUGGUGCAUUAGUGCGCUCAAUCCAGGAUUAGUUCGUGAAAUCGUGGUGUCCUGGAUGGCUGGUGGUGAGCUGUAGGGAGUGCCUGGAAGAAUACCUGGAAUUGAGAGCGAGAAAGAGCGUCAGCGGCUGUGUUGUGGAUACCCGGAUAUGAAAACAAACUAAGUGAAACUGGACGGUUGCUGCGAGCCAGGUCAGCUUGGGAAUCAGCCGCAUGAUGGUAAGGGAAGAUGAGUGCCCUUUGUUUCAUUUUACUGCCUUGCCGGACCAGAGAAGACACCAGGUGUGUGCGGCCGCCACAAUGGGAUACAUUUCAAAUAGGGCUGAGGUCUCCCUGAAUCCUGG